AUCCCAGAUAAAGGUUUCUUGGUGUUUAUCUGAUUCAUGGGAGGCAAAUAAUGAUGCUGGAAGUUUCGCUGAUAGAACCUUUUUCAAGCCUUUCGAAAGGUGUUCUAAUAGUAGCUUUCCAUACAUGU
rfam:Punica granatum cultivar Dabenzi scaffold246, whole genome shotgun sequence.